rnacentral:misc_RNA from 1 species
AGAUAGGAAAGGGGCUGCUAAUGCAGUUCGUGAGGGUGAAUACAUGUAUGUAUAAUGCACAAUACUCAAAUGGAUCGAAACUGCUGCGGAGGGGAUUACCAAAUUUCUUUUAUAUAUUUAGGAUAAAACUCUCUUUGGAUUUGUAAUGUGUAUCAAAACUUUGCUGCUUUUGAAUUACUAAUCUGAGGUGCUUAAACAUUCAAGAGCAACCCAUA